CCUACGGGUGGCAGCAGUGGGGGAUAUUGCACAAUGGGGGGAACCCUGAUGCAGCGACGCCGCGUGUGGGAAGACGGUCCUCUGGAUUGUAAACCACUGUCCCCAGGGACGAAAAUGACGGUACCUGGGGAGGAAGCUCCGGCUAACUACGUGCCAGCAGCCGCGGUAAUACGUAGGGGGCAAGCGUUAUCCGGAUUUACUGGGUGUAAAGGGAGCGUAGACGGCAGUGCAAGUCUGGAGUGAAAGGCGGGGGCUCAACCCCCGGACUGCUCUGGAAACUGUACGGCUGGAGUGCAGGAGAGGUAAGUGGAAUUCCUAGUGUAGCGGUGAAAUGCGUAGAUAUUAGGAGGAACACCAGUGGCGAAGGCGGCCUGCUGGGCUUUUACUGACGCUGAGGCUCGAAAGUGUGGGGAGCAAACAGGAUUAGAUACCCUUGUAGUC
rnacentral:rRNA from 1 species